AGACCCGAAACCCGGUGAUCUAGCCAUGGGCAGGUUGAAGGUUGGGUAACACUAACUGGAGGACCGAACCGACUAAUGUUGAAAAAUUAGCGGAUGACCUGUGGCUGGGGGUGAAAGGCCAAUCAAACCGGGAGAUAGCUGGUUCUCCCCGAAAGCUAUUUAGGUAGCGCCUCGUGAAUUCAUCUCCGGGGGUAGAGCACUGUUUCGGCUAGGGGGCCAUCCCGGCUUACCAACCCGAUGCAAACUGCGAAUACCGGAGAAUGUUAUCACGGGAGACACACGGCGGGUGCUAACGUCCGUCGUGAAGAGGGAAACAACCCAGACCGCCAGCUAAGGUCCCAAAGUCAUGGUUAAGUGGGAAACGAUGUGGGAAGGCCCAGACAGCCAGGAUGUUGGCUUAGAAGCAGCCAUCAUUUAAAGAAAGCGUAAUAGCUCACUGGUCGAGUCGGCCUGCGCGGAAGAUGUAACGGGGCUAAACCAUGCACCGAAGCUGCGGCAGCGACACUAUGUGUUGUUGGGUAGGGGAGCGUUCUGUAAGCCUGUGAAGGUGUGUCGUGAGGCAUGCUGGAGGUAUCAGAAGUGCGAAUGCUGACAUAAGUAACGAUAAAGCGGGUGAAAAGCCCGCUCGCCGGAAGACCAAGGGUUCCUGUCCAACGUUAAUCGGGGCAGGGUGAGUCGACCCCUAAGGCGAGGCCGAAAGGCGUAGUCGAUGGGAAACGGGUUAAUAUUCCCGUACUUGGUGUUACUGCGAAGGGGGGACGGAGAAGGCUAUGUUGGCCGGGCGACGGUUGUCCCGGUUUAAGCGUGUAGGUGUGUGUUCCAGGUAAAUCCGGUUCACUUUAACACUGAGGCGUGACGACGAGGCACUACGGUGCUGAAGCAACAAAUGCCCUGCUUCCAGGAAAAGCCUCUAAGCAUCAGGUAACAUCAAAUCGUACCCCAAACCGACACAGGUGGUCAGGUAGAGAAUACCAAGGCGCUUGAGAGAACUCGGGUGAAGGAACUAGGCAAAAUGGUGCCGUAACUUCGGGAGAAGGCACGCUGACACGUAGGUGAAGUGAUUUACUCAUGGAGCUGAAGUCAGUCGAAGAUACCAGCUGGCUGCAACUGUUUAUUAAAAACACAGCACUGUGCAAACACGAAAGUGGACGUAUACGGUGUGACGCCUGCCCGGUGCCGGAAGGUUAAUUGAUGGGGUCAGCGCAAGCGAAGCUCCUGAUCGAAGCCCCGGUAAACGGCGGCCGUAACUAUAACGGUCCUAAGGUAGCGAAAUUCCUUGUCGGGUAAGUUCCGACCUGCACGAAUGGCGUAAUGAUGGCCAGGCUGUCUCCACCCGAGACUCAGUGAAAUUGAACUCGCUGUGAAGAUGCAGUGUACCCGCGGCAAGACGGAAAGACCCCGUGAACCUUUACUAUAGCUUGACACUGAACAUUGAGCCUUGAUGUGUAGGAUAGGUGGGAGGCUUUGAAGUGUGGACGCCAGUCUGCAUGGAGCCGACCUUGAAAUACCACCCUUUAAUGUUUGAUGUUCUAACGUGGACCCGUGAUCCGGGUUGCGGACAGUGUCUGGUGGGUAGUUUGACUGGGGCGGUCUCCUCCUAAAGAGUAACGGAGGAGCACGAAGGUUGGCUAAUCCUGGUCGGACAUCAGGAGGUUAGUGCAAUGGCAUAAGCCAGCUUGACUGCGAGCGUGACGGCGCGAGCAGGUGCGAAAGCAGGUCAUAGUGAUCCGGUGGUUCUGAAUGGAAGGGCCAUCGCUCAACGGAUAAAAGGUACUCCGGGGAUAACAGGCUGAUACCGCCCAAGAGUUCAUAUCGACGGCGGUGUUUGGCACCUCGAUGUCGGCUCAUCACAUCCUGGGGCUGAAGUAGGUCCCAAGGGUAUGGCUGUUCGCCAUUUAAAGUGGUACGCGAGCUGGGUUUAGAACGUCGUGAGACAGUUCGGUCCCUAUCUGCCGUGGGCGCUGGAGAACUGAGGGGGGCUGCUCCUAGUACGAGAGGACCGGAGUGGACGCAUCACUGGUGUUCGGGUUGUCAUGCCAAUGGCACUGCCCGGUAGCUAAAUGCGGAAGAGAUAAGUGCUGAAAGCAUCUAAGCACGAAACUUGCCCCGAG
rnacentral:rRNA from 1 species